UACAGAACUAAACACGUCGACUGCUAUUGAGAGCUAGUGUAUUAUUAUUAUAACAGCCGAUACAAUGGCUGCUCCUACUAGUCAUUUAUAUCCAACUGUACACCAUGGAGGUGAAAUGGAAAAUAUGAACGCAAACAACACUUCAAGGGACGAAGCACAAGUUGAUCUUUUGAGGGGAACUGAAAAGUACUCUGAGAAUGCUGUUAUCAAAGGAGGGGUAAAAAGUGGACGAGUCGCAUGGUUCAAAGAAACGUAUCCUGAAACCUCCCUUGUUGAAGAGAUAAAUCCUAAUGAAAGUUUGGCUCAAGAUGUAUCAAGUACAGCAGUCCUUACACCCCUGGAUGAUGAUCUUGUUGGUAAUGAAGAAGAACCUAAUGAUAGAGGAAACUGGUCGGGGCGUUUUGAUUUUCUUAUGUCCUUAUUAGGAUAUUCUGUGGGUCUUGGAAAUGUAUGGAGAUUUCCUUAUUUGGCUUAUAGCAAUGGAGGAGGAGCUUUUGUGUUCCCCUUUAUACUUAUGUUGUUACUUGUUGGCUUACCUUUGAUGUUUAUGGAACUGGCUUUAGGACAGUUUGCUGCCAUGGGACCAGCUACUGUUUUUGAAAGGAUGUGCCCCUUAUUACAUGGUAUUGGGUAUGGUAUGGUGGCAGUUACCUCCCUUGUUGGCCUUUAUUACACAGUUAUCAUUGCUUGGGCUGUACUUUACAUGUUUACAUCCUUUGCAACAGAGUUACCGUGGGAACGCUGUCAUAAACCAUGGGCAACUUCAAGGUGUUAUUCAUAUAAAGAUGCUGAUGAAUGUAAAGCUAUAAAUGGUUCAGUUUAUUAUGAACAAACAUGUUAUAAUUCUACUGUGGCUAUAGAUAAAAAUUUGUAUAAUUUGACUGCCAACUUUACAGAUAAAACAGCUCCUGCACAAGAUUUCUUCCAAAGCCAUAUACUGAAUAUUUCUGAUGGUAUUGACGAUAUUGGUUCUAUUCAAUGGAAGAUUUCUUUAUGUUUAUUAUUUGCUUGGCUUCUAACGUUUGUGUCCUUAAGUAAAGGCGUGAAGUCAGUGGGAAAGGUUGUGUACUUUACAGCUUUAUUUCCAUAUUUUGUGUUGACAAUUUUGUUUUUCCGUGGUGUAACAUUGCCAGGAGCUAAAGAUGGUAUCAUAUAUUACCUCACACCUGACUUCGCACAGCUUAAAAUGGCAAAGACAUGGGUAGCAGCUGCUGUACAGAUAUUUUUUGCUUUAAGUCCAGCCUGGGGUGGUUUAAUUACAUUAUCCAGUUAUAACAAGUUUCACAAUAACUGUUUCAAAGAUGCUCUGAUUGUUUCGAUAAGUAAUAUAAGUACAAGUAUAUUUGCUGGUUUUGUUAUAUUCUCUAUUGUUGGUUAUCUAGCUCAAGAACUUGACAUGCCAGUAGAUAAAGUUGUUGCACACGGUCCAGGUUUAGCAUUUGUUGUAUUUCCUGAUGUUGUAACAAGAUUACCUAUAUCCCCUUUAUGGUCUUUUCUCUUCUUCUUUAUGUUGAUUACAUUGGGUAUGGGUAGUGAGUUUGCGUUGUUAGAGACGGUUAUGACAGCUGUACAAGACACAUAUCCUGCAUUAAGAAGUAAAAAGGUGUUUGUUGUAUUAUUUGUUAGUGUGAUUGGUUUUCUGGGUGGUUUAAUCAUCUGCUCUCAGCAAUUGUAAGUAUGGUUGUCACGUGACAAUGAGGUACCGGCAGAAUUAAACCGGAAGCUAGGUGGCGCGCAAAGAAAGUAGGACAUGGAAGUGUCAGUCUCAUCUGCUCUACGCUUCACUGACAAUCAUUUUCAUUCUCAGCGCCCGUUUUGGUUUUCUGUGUGAAUUAUAUAAUGCCAGCUCGUUGUUGCGUACCGAUGUGAAAUGGGAAAGGUGGGCAUAAAUUUCCGCUGAACCCUGUUGAGAGACGGCGAUGGAUUCAGGCCGUAAAAAGAGGAGAAAGUGACUGGACACCGUCUAAGUGGAGUAUUGUUUGUCGAUCGCAUUUUGAUUCUUCUGACUACAUUUCCGAAACCAAAGAAAGGGAUCAAAUGGUCAAUAGUAUAUUGAAGCCAGGAGCGAUUCCACAUUUAUUUGCUUGGAAAAGAACAAGUUUAUCAGGUAGUAGGCGCAGAAAAAGAGCCCUACAUAAACAACAAAGUAUUAACAAAAUCGAGAGACUGGAAAGCUUGUCAACUUCUGAAAAUGUAGGAAACGAAGUUGAAAUAGAAUACAUCGAAGAGGACUUUACUCCUAUCGAAGUUAAAAGUGAACCUGAUACAAAAGACUCUGCUACUCAAGUUGAUAUGUCAAUGCGCUUCUGUGCCCGACAAUACAUGUUGAGUUCGGAGAAAUUUCUAUGUUAUACUGGACUAGAAAGCUAUGAUGCUUUUAUGUGUUUGUUUUACUCGUUUGGGCCAGUAGUUGAUAAACUUAGGUAUUUUUAUGGGACAAAACCUAAGAUGUCAACAGAGGACCAGUUUUUUCUGACUUUGGUUAAACUUAGACUUGGGAGGAGUAAUUUUGAGUUGUCUGACACAUUUGAAAUAUGUGAAAAAGAGCUUAUGAACAUAUUUAUAACAUGGAUAAAUUUCAUGUAUUUUCACUUUAAGGAAAUUAACUGGUGCCCAUCCAAAGACUUGGUAAAGUUUUACAGUCCUGCAGACUUUAAGUCUAAGUUUCCGACAACAAGGGUAGUAAUUGAUGGUACGGAAAUACCAAUACAAAGGCCAAAACAACCAAUUAUUCAGCAAGGCACAUUUUCCACAUAUAAAAACAGAAAUACAGAUAAGGUCCUUGUAGGUGUUACACCAGGGGUCUUGUGAGUUAUGUGUCCGAUGCAUUUGGUUUUGCAGCCAGUGAUAGGCAGAUAUGCGAGAGAAGCUGUCUAAUGAAUUUAUGUGAAUCUGGUGACACUGUCAUGGCAGAUAAGGGGUUUAAUGUUCAAGAUCUGUUCAUACCGUCAAAUGUGGAAAUUAACAUUCCAGAAUUUUUAAAAAAAAAAGAACAGGAUGUCUGAACAUUCAGUAGCAAAUGAUCGAAAAAUAGCCAGCAAACGAGUGCACGUUGAACGAAUUAUCGGACUAGCCAAGACAUUUAAAAUAUUGAAAAAACCUCUAAAUAAUACAGAAUCAAAUUUGUCAGAUGCAAUUAUUUCAGUUUGUUUUUAUUUAUGUAAUUUUAGACCAGCCAUUGUCCACAAUGAUGCCUAAGUUGACGUGUAUUGAUCUUGUAACAUUGGAUAGAAUAAAACAUAUUAACUCUGA